rnacentral:lncRNA from 1 species
GUCACCGAACAGUCAACAUUAUAAUCAAUUAUGGAAGUAUCAUCAUCAACUCGUACAACAGUCGUUGCGGUCAGCGUACCGCGACAAUGGUUGUCAGCGUGUUCAAGGGAUGUAUUGGAGAGCAUCUUGCGGCGAGCACUCCGAUCAUACAUCGUGGCUGAAAACGAUGUAUCAGUAAGAAUCGCGGGGAUAGAGGCGCAACUGGUUGAAUUCCAUUUCGGUGAAUACUGGUUCGUGCCAAAAAAUCUCUUCAACGACAAUAACGAUGACAACAACGACAACAACGAUAACACAGACAAGGGGAAUGAGAAUGACAACGACGACGACGACGACGUAAUUGUCCUAGAUGACAGCAACGAUAACAAAGAUAAGGGAAACGAGAAGGACAACGACGAUGAUGACGAUGUAACCGUCCUAAAUUAAACAUGUAUCGUCAUCAACUGCGGUUCCAAUACCACGAUCGUAAUCACAAUUAUCAUCAUCAUCAUCCCAUCAUAGUAUCAUCGGGAACGAGUAUCAGAAUUUUUUUAUAAAGUUAUUUUGACUCAAUAAAAACUACUUUUUACAAAAAAAAAAAAUAUUUCAUCAUGUAUAUGAUACUU